rnacentral:misc_RNA from 1 species
CGAAGAACAAGAAUAUAUAUUUCUUUUUUCAUUCAUAAAAAAAUAUUCUAAAUUUUGCUUCAAAAGUCCAUGUUUUUCUCAUUAAUAACAUUCCCAAUUCUCAAUGUUUCUUUGUGUCCAAACAGAACCCAUCUAUCUCCAUUCUAGUAUUAUCUGUUUCUCUUCUUCUUUCCUUCUAUUGACGAAGAAGAAUCUGUCGACCCCGUGUGGCACGCAAUUAUACUAGAAUUUUCUGUGAAUUUUUUUAUAUCCUACCCAACAAAAACAAAACCUAUAUAAUAUAAUACCCCAAAAAAGAAAAACCCACCCGUCUUUUUCCCUCGAAGCCACCUUUUUCUUCCUUCCAAUACCCAGAAGGCGGUUUUUGGU